rnacentral:rRNA from 1 species
UACGUAGGGGGCAAGCGUUGUCCGGAUUUAUUGGGCGUAAAGAGCGUGUAGGCGGCCAGAUAGGUCCGUUGUGAAAACUCGAGGCUCAACCUCGAGACGCCGAUGGAAACCAUCUGGCUAGAGUCCGGAAGAGGAGAGUGGAAUUCCCGGUGUAGCGGUGAAAUGCGCAGAUAUCGGGAAGAACACCCGUGGCUAAGGCGGCUCUCUAGUACGGUACUGACGCUGAGACGCGAAAGCGUGGGAGCGAACAGG